rnacentral:lncRNA from 1 species
UCCCAUUGUUCUGGCUUUCCUGCCUCCUUUGCACAACUUCUGUAGCCUGGAGGGGAAAUAUAAAAUAAUCUUGGUGUGGCAGCUUGUGGAAAGUAAUAGGCUAGCUGCUGCAUUUAUUUCUACUCAAAGAGAUUAAAAUGCAGUCGCAGAGGUGGUGCUGACAUCAUCCCAAGUGCACAAAUAAAGUUGACGUCAGUUAUACGCUGUAUUUCAAGGUGUUUAUCUCCAUCUGAUUAGGUUAGUAAAAUGCGUACUGCAAAGCCAGCAUACACAGGAGGAAAUGGUGUGGUUGUCCCUGCUUCCCACUUACCCUCUUAUACCAUGGUAGGUCUUGGAAAGCCUGAAAGACAUACUGCUCAAUAAGUCUCCUGUAUUACACUCUGGAGCUGCCACUGGGCUUGACUUUUUCAUUUGUUAUUCUCCAAACAUAAGUGUUAAAACAUAGCUUUUAUCUGACUUAGGUAUUGGGCAGCCCCUUCUUACAAGGAAGUCCAGAUCUGAACUUCUGACCUCUGCAAGUCAUAGAACUAUUUGAGUUGGAGCGGCCUGUAAAAGAUUGGAAGCCCCCCAUGACUGGUGUCACCAAUUGGCAGGAGAGCUGCCAUGACUGAACAUACACUUGAAAAAGACACACAUAUUAAAGUCAGUAUCCCAGCCACACCAGCGUCUUCCUGCUUUCUUAUGACACUUCACACAGCAAUGGGCUAUGGAGCAAAGAGGAGCUGAAGGUGCCUGGAAAUGUUCUGUUACCAACCCUGGUAAAAUGGCCUGAGUCUUUGUGGUACCAAUCCGUGAUUAACACCAGAUGGAGUUGCCAGUGGCCAGUGACUCACUGGAUUGCAUCCACAUUUGUUCUGAACUCAAUUGGAGAGGGACAAUACCACACUCACAAAAAGCCACUAGCUACUUAUCAAACCAAUAAAACCAGAAAGUGUCUCUUAAACUUCCUGGCACAACAUUGACUCAGGAUGCAAAAGAAUACUUAAAAUAGUUUUGUAACUUGUGUUUCCAACUUGUUUCUUUGCAAAUCCAAAAGCAUAUGCUAGACAGAUGUUGCUCUGAGUCUGAUAAGUGUGCAUAUGGUAUUGAUAUCUGUAGAUAUCAGAAAAUUCUUGGAUUUAUGUCAGAAGAUAUGUCCAAGCAAAGUCUGUGAAUAUAAAAAGUGUGUGAUUCAGAACUGUUGCAGUUUAUGUGACUGGAAUAUUAGUAUUCUGCUUUAGAGUUCAGAUAUAUUGUAUAUUAAUAAAAUAACUAUUUUUGCCUUUGUCCUUUAAGUC